GGGGAUAUAGCUCAGUUGGUAGGGUGCUUGCUUCAUAACAAGGCCCUGGGUGCAAUCCCUAGUACCACCA
rfam:Ictidomys tridecemlineatus contig126862, whole genome shotgun sequence.